GCCUUCUUAGCUCAGAGGUAGAGCGUUCCACUCGUACGUCAAUCGGCGUUUGAUGGAAAGGUCGCUAGUUCAAGUCUGGUAGGAGGCA